GUCUCUCCACUAAAGGACAUUUUUCCCUUCAACUUUUCUUCCAAGAACUUCAGGUGGAGAUUAAAAAUAGCUGAUAAAUAUGACAGAGGAUUCAGUGGACUUUUGAUGAAGGGCAGGUUGACGGUAAAAAAGGUGUUGGAAGUAUGAUAUUUGCCUGAAGAGCUUAGCAUACCUGUAGCAAAAAUGGGGAAAAUCUUAAUCUUGCUAAAUAUUUGAGGCACAAAAAUGUUUCAUCAUUCAUGGCCAUUGAGUUGGAAUGCCACCAAAGAUAAUAUUUGAUCACAGAUGUAGAUCAUCGAAUUCAUUAACCCACACCUUUCCUUGGGCAGCAGCUGCACAUAAGCAAGGGAUAAGGUUUCAACUCACAUUCUUAUUGAUGUACGCAAGAUAAACUUGGCCAAGGUCCUAUGUUGUGAGGCGAGGCACUAUUUCUUAUCUUUUAAAUAUUUACGAAAGCCUAGUUUUUCAGUAAAAAAAAGGUGGCAGGUGGAGACGAAGGAGAGAAAAGGAGAAGGGUUCUUCAAUCACUGACUCAAAGAGAAACCUGGGAGAAUUUCCAGAAGCACAAUGACAGAAGAAGCCAACCCCAACCCAUAGGCCUUCCGCUUUGAUGAUGCUCCUCUGAACCUCAAUUUUCCUUCGCUUUCCUCAGCUGCCAAACAGGUCAGACCCAUCAAUUUUCCCUCUGUUUUCUCGACUUUUCUUUCCCUCAAAGCCGUGAAUGUCUACCAUUUUUAUUUUUUUUAUUCUCUCAACUCUCUGCAACAAAAAAGAGGAAAAAAUAGGAUUUUUUGGUUGUUUUGUUUGGGGUUUGUGGAGAUUGUUGAUUGCGUUGGGGUCUGGUUUAUUUGAAAGAAAUGGGAUCGAAAGAAAAGGGGAGAAGAGGGCUGUUCAAUUUUAUCGUUCCUCUCUACCAUAGGAAUGCUUGGGGGCGAGAAUUUGAGAUGAGGCUCACUUGCUUGGUUCAGAAAUUUGGGUUUGUCUUUGUACUCGUCUGGCUUCUGAUUGGGGAUUGUUGUGAUAUUGAAUAAUUUGGCAAAUGUGAUGUGGGUUUAUCUGGAA